AGAUUGAACGCUGGCGGCAUGCCUUACACAUGCAAGUCGAACGGUAACAGGGAGCUUGCUCCGCUGACGAGUGGCGAACGGGUGAGUAAUACAUCGGAACGUGCCCAGUAAUGGGGGGAUAGCUCGGCGAAAGCCGGAUUAAUACCGCAUACGCCCUGAGGGGGAAAGUGGGGGAUCGCAAGACCUCACGUUAUUGGAGCGGCCGAUGGCUGAUUAGCUAGUUGGUAGGGUAAAGGCUACCAAGGCGACGAUCAGUAGCUGGUCUGAGAGGACGAUCAGCCACACUGGGACUGAGACACGGCCCAGACUCCUACGGGAGGCAGCAGUGGGAAUUUUGGACAAUGGGGGAAACCCUGAUCCAGCAAUGCCGCGUGUGCGAAGAAGGCCUUCGGGUGUAAAGCUCUUCGGCGGGACGAACGGUCCGUGACAACACCACGGACUAAUGACGGUACUCGACAGAAGAAGACACCGCUAAACUACGUAGCCAGCAGCCGCGGUAA
rnacentral:rRNA from 1 species